rnacentral:lncRNA from 1 species
GAAUUUUGUCCAUUUGCUUUGUUCCUUGGUGAGCCUAGCCAAAGCCUUGUGACAUGGCAACAUGACUACGUGCUUGUAUCUGUCAUCUGGAAAGAACCGAGCUGCUGCCCUGCAUACCAUGACCGAGGCAUCCGGAACCUCAUAGCAACCCUUCUCCUCACUGUGUAUUUUGAGAAUCCAAAUAACACGAACUCCAGUGCUGUCUUUCGUGAUUUAAAACACAAAGGACAACUCAUGAACGUGACUCAGGCUUUAUAAACGAAAAAAGAAAUCAUAGAUGCCUAGCUAACGGCCGUGGUAACCUCUCUGGGCUUCUGUUUUAGAAGUAAAGCCAAUCUAUGAUGAAGUUUCAUAAGUCAAGUGCUUACUAUAAAGCUGAACAUAGCUUUUCAAUGAGUGUUUGCCAUUUAAAAUUCUGCUAGAGGGCUGGAGAGAUAGCUAAUCAAGUCAAGAGCACUGGCUGAUCUUUCACAGGACCCAAGUUCGAUUCCCAGGACCCAAGUUUGAUUCCCAGAACCUGUUGGCAGUUUACAAUCACCAAUAACUCCAGUCCCAGGGGAUUCAACACUCUCUUCUGGCCUCUGCAGGCACCAGGAAUUAAUGCAGUAUACAGACAUGCAUGCGGACAGACAUCCAUAUACAUAAAAUAAACAAAUUUUAAAAAAUUCCCUGAGAAAAUAUGUGUAAGAAGUUUAUUUUCCUAGUCCUCACUUAACUGUGUUAAUAUAUCUGAAUUUGGAUAAAGAGUUAUAUAGAUUUGAGGCUGGAGAGAUGGCUCAGUGGUUAAGAAUUGCUCUUGCAGAGGACCUGGGUUCAAGUCUUAACACUCACAUUGUGUGGCUUACACAACUUUUUGUAAACACAACUUUGUGACUCUAGCUCUAGGGGUUCCAACUUAACCUUCUUGGGUACUGGUGCUCACAUGCACAUGCCUACACAUAGACUCAUGCACAUACACAUAACUAAAAAUACUACAAAAGAGUCAUACAGAUUUUCAUUUGCUUAUUCUGUAAUAUUUAGUGAAUGGCUUCCAUUUAUCAAACAUUGUUCUUGCAGCUAGGAUACAGUAAUGAAGGCCACAGGAAGCCCUGCCCUCAGGAAGCUUGUCUUCUGGGGUGGGAGUCAGGGCUGAUGUUAUCAUAGUGUAUAUGUCCCUGUCCCAGGCUAGCUCCUUCAUAGCUUAGAGAGAACUAGCCUGGGACAGGGAACAGGGAAGCAGUGAUAAGUGCAUAUUAGAAAAUGUGCAGAUUAACUUUUCAUUUUGUUAUAUAGUCUAGUAUCGACA